ACGGUGAAGCAGGAGCUUGCUCUUGUGGAUCAGUGGCGAACGGGUGAGUAACACGUGAGUAACCUGCCCUUGACUCUGGGAUAAGCGUUGGAAACGACGUCUAAUACUGGAUACGAACCGCAACCGCAUGGUUAGUGGUUGGAAAGAUUUUUUGGUCAAGGAUGGACUCGCGGCCUAUCAGCUUGUUGGUGAGGUAAUGGCUCACCAAGGCGACGACGGGUAGCCGGCCUGAGAGGGUGACCGGCCACACUGGGACUGAGACACGGCCCAGACUCCUACGGGAGGCAGCAGUGGGGAAUAUUGCACAAUGGGCGCAAGCCUGAUGCAGCAACGCCGCGUGAGGGAUGACGGCCUUCGGGUUGUAAACCUCUUUUAGUAGGGAAGAAGCGAAAGUGACGGUACCUGCAGAAAAAGCACCGGCUAACUACGUGCCAGCAGCCGCGGUAAUACGUAGGGUGCAAGCGUUGUCCGGAAUUAUUGGGCGUAAAGAGCUCGUAGGCGGUUUGUCGCGUCUGCUGUGAAAACUGGAGGCUCAACCUCCAGCCUGCAGUGGGUACGGGCAGACUAGAGUGCGGUAGGGGAGAUUGGAAUUCCUGGUGUAGCGGUGGAAUGCGCAGAUAUCAGGAGGAACACCGAUGGCGAAGGCAGAUCUCUGGGCCGUAACUGACGCUGAGGAGCGAAAGCGUGGGGAGCGAACAGGAUUAGAUACCCUGGUAGUCCACGCCGUAAACGUUGGGAACUAGAUGUGGGGGCCAUUCCACGGUCUCCGUGUCGCAGCUAACGCAUUAAGUUCCCCGCCUGGGGAGUACGGCCGCAAGGCUAAAACUCAAAGGAAUUGACGGGGGCCCGCACAAGCGGCGGAGCAUGCGGAUUAAUUCGAUGCAACGCGAAGAACCUUACCAAGGCUUGACAUACACGAGAACGGGCCAGAAAUGGUCAACUCUUUGGACACUCGUGAACAGGUGGUGCAUGGUUGUCGUCAGCUCGUGUCGUGAGAUGUUGGGUUAAGUCCCGCAACGAGCGCAACCCUCGUUCUAUGUUGCCAGCACGUGAUG
rnacentral:rRNA from 1 species